UACGGGGGGGGCAAGCGUUGUUCGGAAUUACUGGGCGUAAAGGGCGCGUAGGCGGCCAGCACAAGUCAGUUGUGAAAUCUCCGAGCUUAACUCGGAAAGGUCAACUGAUACUGUGCGGCUAGAGUGCAGAAGGGGCAACUGGAAUUCUUGGUGUAGCGGUGAAAUGCGUAGAUAUCAGGAGGAACACCAAUGGCGAAGGCAGCUCGUUGGGACGGUACUGACGCUGAGACGCGAAAGCGUGGGGAGCAAACAGG
rnacentral:rRNA from 1 species